UUUUCUACUCACCUUUGUGAUAUUUAUAUUAAAAUUAGAGUGAUACAGAUAUUAGCAUGGCCCCUGUGUAAGGAUGACACACCAAUUUGUGAAGUGUUCCAUUUUUAA